GCAGGUGGCUCUGCAAUGUUCUUCAACUACUCUACUUCCAUCUCUCCUUGAUUCUUUGAAAUAUCUGGUAUUUUUUUUGAAAUAUCUGGUAUUAAUGUGACCAGCCAUCAGUACACAGUGAUAUUACUCAAAACAGCAUGCAGGAGGCACUUGGUAGAUGUUAACAGACACUGACUGCUGACGAACGCUCACCUCCACAAAUCCCAUUGGGAUCAACCCCCUCGCUGAGCUCCUGGAGCCAUCGAUGUUUGUGUCUCUCCCUGGAAUCUGGCACCACACCAUUGUACCUUUAUCUCAGGAAUAUUAUACCCCACAUGAGGAAACUGAGGCUACUCACCUGAGAUGACACAGCUACCAAGUAAUGGGACUAUGAUUUUUAACGUGGAUUCUGACUCCAGAGCCUGCUACUAAUCUAUGC